CCGAGGGACACUGGAGAGACAGCCCAAGGCGCCGGUAGAGAGAAGCCGCCACACAGCUGUGACCCGGCAGGCAUGAAUCCCGAGAGAGGACCCAUGCGAGCUUCUGAGUCAGGUGGCAUCCAACCCAACAGCUUGUACCUUCUUUGGGUUGUUCUUCUCUACCACGCCGUCCCGGUCUGCAUCCACAUCCAGGGAGAUCUCUGGGGACAAGAGAUACGGGUUCCUUCAACAACUCCCUACUACCUGCAGAAGGAAGUCCAGCACCAUAACUGAGUCUUCAAAGCCUUGGCUGAGCUCUGCGACCUCGCGCCUUCCUUUCCAGGCCACUAAAACAUCGCUCUUUCCUCCUCCGUGUGGCCCAGCUUUCUUGACACCUAUGUCCUCUUGGCCAGGGGCAGGUCCUCGGUCUCACUCUGAACCCCUGGCCCUCUUUCGAGACCCAGCUCAGUGGUCACCUCUGCAGGAAGUCUUCCUGAUCCCACCAGCCAGAAUGCAGCCCUCCCUCCCUCUGCUGCUGCCUCAAA